rnacentral:rRNA from 1 species
AUUGAACGCUGGCGGCAUGCCUUACACAUGCAAGUCGAACGGUAACAGGCCGCAAGGUGCUGACGAGUGGCGAACGGGUGAGUAAUGCAUCGGAACGUGCCCAGUCGUGGGGGAUAACGCAGCGAAAGCUGUGCUAAUACCGCAUACGAUCUAUGGAUGAAAGCGGGGGACCGUAAGGCCUCGCGCGAUUGGAGCGGCCGAUGUCAGAUUAGGUAGUUGGUGGGGUAAAGGCCCACCAAGCCGACGAUCUGUAGCUGGUCUGAGAGGACGACCAGCCACACUGGGACUGAGACACGGCCCAGACUCCUACGGGAGGCAGCAGUGGGGAAUUUUGGACAAUGGGCGCAAGCCUGAUCCAGCAAUGCCGCGUGCAGGAAGAAGGCCUUCGGGUUGUAAACUGCUUUUGUACGGAACGAAACGGUCUGGGUUAAUACCCUGGGCUAAUGACGGUACCGUAAGAAUAAGCACCGGCUAACUACGUGCCAGCCGCCGCCGUAAUAC